CAGGCAAGAGACUUCUAAUCAAACAAAAAUACAGAGAAUUGAGUUUGAAUUGAACACUUGAUAUACAAUCAGUGGUGUUCACAAUACAAUACAGAAAAGACUCUAGACUUUGAAUUUCUAAGAUGUAUCAAAUCAGUGCAGAAAUUCAGUGUGCUUUGUAGUAUCAAAUUGACAGAGUUUUGGCGCUUUUGAACUUAUGUAUAUCUCUAUCUUAUCUUCAAGUCUUCACUCCUUUAUAUAGAGGCGUGAAAGAGACGUUGAGAUAAUCAGCACGUCUAAAGAGUCGUUUGAAAUCCUUUGAUUAUCCACCAGUGAUCCUUUGCCUGAUUUGGGUGUAGUCCUUUGAAGGAUAAACUUCAAAUUCAUUCCCAUCUUGAGUUGUACAAAUUCUGCAGGCAUGGCUGUUGUUUUGUCUUGUAGCGUAGACAGAAAACAGAGUAGUGGAGGUAGUGGUUGUACACUUGUACUUUGUCAACUCUAUUAAUGAGAGACAAGUGCUCAGUGCUUUCCAUAUAUCCGUUGAUACCUCCCUUUCAGUUCUUCGUUCUUCUUUGAUAAGACUGAAUUGAGAAUCAGCAACUUUGAAUCUUCAGUUUGAUUAAAGGAUCAAAUGUAGCUUCUGGUGAAAAUAUUGCUUCUGAUGAAAACUUUUGCUUCUGAUGACUUUCUGCUUCUGAUGACUUUCUGCUUCUGAUGACGUCAUCUCUUCAGGAGCAGUUUAGCUUCAGGAGCAGUUUAGCUUCAGGAGCAGUUUUCUUCAGAUGCUCAGAAUUUCUUUUUCUUUCCAUUGUUCUUCCAAGACCUAUUGAAAUAACUUGAGUAGCCUUUGGUCCUGUACACUUGAACAAUUAUUAGUAAUAACCAAUUGACAAUUUUUAAUACCUUGUUAUCAUCAAAACUUAAUAAGGUUCAUUGUGAAACACAUUUUGUUCCAAC
rnacentral:lncRNA from 1 species